GGGGGUGUAGCUCAUAUGGUAGAGCGCUCGCUUCGCAUGCGAGAAGCACGGGGUUCGAUUCCUCGCACCUCCA
rfam:Ipomoea nil DNA, scaffold: scaffold3251, cultivar: Tokyo-kokei standard.